UACUCAGGGCUGUACUUGCACCAGGUCUUGUAAAAAGGGAAUUUGAAAGAGCAGAUUGGACAAAAAAUAGGAUUUGGACAAAAAUCUUGCUUCAGUUCUGGCAUUGUCCUUUCUUCAGUUAAAUUUCCUGCUGUGUUUAAUAGGCAGCAUAGAAGUUUUUAAAAAUUUUGCUUUAAGAUAAAGUAUGCUUUAUUGAAGACAAGAAAAAUACAGACUUUUAAGAAAAGUAUUCUGAUAUAUCUCAAAUCUCCUGGAAGAUCAGAUCUGAAGGCGUAAGUUUGCCUGCAAUUAUUGUACUACAUGGGAAAUUUACAUAAUAGCAUUUAUGUGGAUCCUUCCUUCAAAUACAAAGAAAUAAAUUAUAGGAAAGAGCAUUUCUUUAAUAUUGAAGAAAAAUGGAUCAUGACUAUUUAUUGGAAGUGAAGAAUGUGCUGUAUUUUAGCUGAGCACAGAAGAGUAUGUCUUCUACUAAUAUCACUAUUUCUGAAAUCGCUGAAAAUAGAACUUUCAAUCUCCCGUGGCUGAGAAGCAAGAAACUAUGAGAACAACAAAGCAAUUAUCAGCUCAGAGGCCAACAAUCCUCCUAAGAAAAAGGGCAGCUGUUAACUACAAGCCUUUGAUAUUARGGGGAUAGUGAAAGACUAUUUCCCUUGCAAAACCUGCAACUUUUUCUACAAGUUCUAUUAAGAGGAAUUGUUGUUUCUACUGUGUACCAUAUGCGCACUGAAAUGCAAAGCCCCCCUCACUUACUGCUUUUACCUCUCUUAUUUGUCUGCAGCAAAAAUGGCA